rnacentral:rRNA from 1 species
AUUGAACGCUGGCGGCAGGCCUAACACAUGCAAGUCGAACGGUAACAGGAAGCAGCUUGCUGCUUUGCUGACGAGUGGCGGACGGGUGAGUAAUGUCUGGGAAACUGCCUGAUGGAGGGGGAUAACUACUGGAAACGGUAGCUAAUACCGCAUAACGUCGCAAGACCAAAGAGGGGGACCUUAGGGCCUCUUGCCAUCGGAUGUGCCCAGAUGGGAUUAGCUAGUAGGUGGGGUAACGGCUCACCUAGGCGACGAUCCCUAGCUGGUCUGAGAGGAUGACCAGCCACACUGGAACUGAGACACGGUCCAGACUCCUACGGGAGGCAGCAGUGGGGAAUAUUGCACAAUGGGCGAAAGCCUGAUGCAGCCAUGCCGCGUGUAUGAAGAAGGCCUUCGGGUUGUAAAGUACUUUCAGCGGGGAGGAAGGGAGUAAAGUUAAUACCUUUGCUCAUUGACGUUACCCGAAGAAGAAGCACCGGCUAACUACGUG